UUGGCCCUCCUUUUUAGCUAGCUGAUUGUUUUUCUCAUUCAGCUGACGCUGAUUCUCCAGUAGUUGCUUAUUUUUAUCCUUUAUUGAGUCCAUUUUUUCUUAGAGCUAUUUCUUCAGCCCCUUCACUACUUCCUUUUCUUUGGCAACCUUCUUUUCUACUAUCUUCUUGGCCUCUGUAGGAGUUGGUGUGGUGCUCCCAAGCUUUGAGAGGUUAGGAGAGGAGCCAUGGGUUUGACUCUUGGAUUCUAGGGUAGGUUUAGGUCCUAGGGCUAGGACGGAUUUGGUCCUAAGAUGGAGGUUCAGCCUCCAUGGUCUUGAGGCCCGAGAUUAGGGGCCUUGAGGGCUUGAGGCCCAGGAGAAUUGGGUCUCGAGGGAGCUAACUUAGUUAUGGAUCGAGUUUUGGGGUCAUGGGGGUGAGAGCACAUCAUGU
rnacentral:lncRNA from 1 species